UGUUCCAUUUCUCUUGGUCGUAAGAUGAUUAAAAAUUGAGAGGAGAGUUUUGAGAGGCUGUUUGGAUGGUCAAUUAAUCAGGCACCCCCAUAGCCUGAUUGUGCUGGAUGAGCACAUCCAUCCUGUGUGUCUGGUAUCUGACCAUUCACUGCACUACUGACCAUGCUGGCUGACCAGUCCUGCAUGGUGUGGACACUUUCACCUCAAUAAUCAGAAGAAGAAUUAAGGAAAUUCAUAGAGGAGAUAUUUAGAAUAGGAAAUGAAGAUUGUCUUUGUAAUGUUCACAAGGCAGUUUAACUCUAUGCUGAUGACUAUACAGUGAGGGCGGAGGGAGCACCUGUUUUACCUCUCCCGAUCUUGGAAUAAGAUGUCUGCAAGUUCUUGCAUGAAUUGAAGUGACAUUACAUUGAUGUGUUGGAAGGAAAGACAUGGCUCUGUAAAGCUUUACAUCUCUUGUUUAAAGUCUGGAUAAGAAGAUUGGACUUAUGCAACCUGUAUCACUUUUAAUAUCAAGAAGCAAGAACUCUGACUGAUAUUCACCCUGAAAAUCUUCAAGUCUCCUUUACAGACGGACCAUUGGAUUGACUCUACGUGGCUUGCCAACUUACAGGACAAAUUACACGGAGAAUAAUCACCGGACAACUCAAAUCAUCUUGACAAAGUGUGGGUCCCAUGUCUGGCAAUCUCUCCUAAUCACCUCUCAGCGGCGAGAUUGAAAGAAAAGCGACCAAUCAUCUUAGGCUGGUAGAUCACCUCACCCUUGACCUCUUACAUUGACCCUUCUCUCUCCCGCCCUGCUGCUGGUGAGUUACUUGGUCGGUCACCAUUUUGUAAUUGGGCUACCUUGCUCUCAUUCCUCAAUUUAAUGAUUGGAGAUUGUCUAAGCGUAUAUAUUCCAUAUGUUGAAGCAUACUCAUACAGGGAUGCUAAUUUUUUUAUUUUUUUUAAAUUAUUAGACAUUUUAGUGUUAUAGGGAUGAAAGCUAUAUCAACAAUCAAAACCAAUGAAUUGUUGACCUUUGUCCUCUAACCCUCUCUCUCACCCUCCAAAAUUUAAAAUAUAAAAAUCAAAUGAAAUGAAAUAAAAAAUAAAACAUAAAAGACAAAGUCCAUCAGAAUACUACUUGGUCAUUUAUUAUCUUCCUCAACCAAUUCCUUAAACGAUAUGUCUUUAACAAUAAGCUUUCUAGGGAUUUUGUUCCCUUCUCAAAGACAUAUUUAAUGAAUACAAUGUACCAACAAUACAUAAUUAUCUUGGGAUUUGAUGACUUACAUUUCUACUUUGGUUUACUUUUGAAAUUGAAGAAAAAAAAUUGUUGUCUUCUCCUGAUCUCAACAGAACAUACAUUGGUUUCACAUAGUUUGAUGUUUUUUUUUCUUCAUUAAUUUAAGGGUUUAGUUUAUUACUCUAGUUUAUGUGAAUACCUUUCACGUUAUUUCAAGAUCAGUCAAAGAAGCAUAGACCUAUUAGUUGAACUGAUAAAAUAUUAAGUGAAGGGCCUGAGAAAAGCAACCAAGUGAAUUUGUCCUGUUGCUAGUAAUUAGAAUCUAAGCUCAAACCACAAAUGCGAGCUUCCCACAGUAGCGUGCCCUGGUCUCUCUUUAGACUCUAGCUGUCAGAAUCAGGCAGCAGAGUCUGUGACAAUUCUUUCUUCAACUUCCCAAAGUAUUUGUCAUAAUCAUUACCAUGAAGAGGUUUUCUGACAAAAGAGAGAGGCUGUGUGAGCUGAAAGUGUUGUGAGAAACGAAACCUUGAUCUUUGGUGGCCUAUCGGUGACCUUAAUGUCCUUAUGUGAGGUAAUGAGUUGCUCACUGACAGUGAUUCCUGCUUUGUCUAAUUGAAUUCAGUUUACAGCCAGAGGAACACUGCUGUGCCCCUCACCAUCUACCCAGACAAACUAACUCCUUAGUCUCAUUCCAUUAGACCCUUCGGUAUGACCAGCCACUCAUUGAGGAGGGACCUAAUAGAGAAAUUUAUGUUGAUAAAAAACAACAGUUUUGAAACUUUUUCUAGCAAUUUGAGAGAGCUUCAGAUGUUAAGUUUGAUACAGUGCCUGUUGUGAAGGAUCAGCCCUAUACUCUGCAGCUCUGCGACUUGGACUUGCCAAUCCAACAAUUAUGAUUUCAAGGCCUAAAUAACCAAAUAAUAUCUCAAAAGCUUGAUAUAAGGAGUGAAACGUAC